UUUUGUUCAGGGUUUCUUGCUCAUCCGUAUCCCAAAUCGUUCGUGAAGUUUGCACGCUUUUAAUCGAUGAAUUGAAGGAGUAUGUUAAGUGCAUCAACGGCUAAACAACAUGCCCGUCUUGGUAUGAAUCUUCGUAUGGACUGACACCCCGAUCCAAGGACUGACUAUCCGGCUGCGUGUUACUCAAUAAGUUUCAAAAACCUGUAUAGCCUGGCGUGACUGAAAAAGUCGUUUUGCCAAAAGUAAGAAACUAAUGUAUACUAAUUUAUUGUAACUCUAAAACUAUAUACCUUUAUUAUAUGUAUACUAUAACUACUGUAUACUAUAUC